CUAUUAUGACACUAAAUUUAUAGUGAUAUUUCUUUAUUUAUUACUAUAAUUACUUUUAACUACAGAGUGUCACUUAUUCUUAUUUAUCUAAUUUUUAGUGCAAAUUAGAUAAAGUGAAAAGAAAAGUUCAUUAUUACUUUCUUAUUAAAAAAACUAAACGAGUCUGGAUCGUUCUCACUCUUCCGUUGGAAACCCUUCUUUUUCCACUUGCUACAACACCCAUACAACAAACCAGUUUGCCGCCGCCGCUCAGAGCUCUCCGGCCGCCGCUCAGAGCUCUCUGGCGGCCACUUCAACGUCUCCUUCACAGCUCAUUGAAAUUCCUAACAUCUCAUUUCACUGUUAAGAACUUGAAAAUCCCUAACUCUGGUAGUUUAAUCCUUCUUGGGUAACUGAAACAAAUAAGAAAUGAAACCUUCUAGAGCGCGUGAAGGAUUAUCUGUUAAUGGAGGAAGAGUUUGUUGCUUAUCAAGAGCGGCUAAAACCUCAAGAGGAAAAGGCUGAAGAAGAUAGAUCUAAGGUUGAUGAUUUAAGAGGUUCGCCUAUGAGUGUCGGUAACUUGAAGAACUUAUUGAUGAGAAUCAUGCUAUUGUUUCUUCGUCAGUUGGACCUGAGUAUAAGGAUCAGUUGGAGCCUGGUUGUGCUAUUUUGAUGCAUAAUAAGGUUGCGGUUAUCCCAAAUUGUAGCAUUUUGGAUGCAGUUGGCCAGAAAAUGGCCAGCACUCCUGGAGUUAGUGCCACCCUUUUCAAUGCAUUGGCUAAGGCAAAUAUAAAUGUCCAAGCUAUAUAAUAUUACUUUUGUUGUUAAGCGAGAGGAUUGUAUAAAAGCUUUACGGACUGUCCAUUCCAGAUUUUAUCUUUCAAGAACCACCAUAGCAAUGGGCAUUAUUGGACCAGGAUUAAUUGGGAGCACAGUACUUGAUCAACUAAGGGAUCAGUGAAGAAAGUGAGAGGAUUAUCUGCAAUGCUUACACACACUGAAGCUUCUGCUUUGUCCGGUAUUCUUUAAACCUUGAAGCUUUUUCUAACAAUUGCCAAGCUGCAGUGUACACUGAAGAACGUCCCUCCAACAACUUCCCCACUGCAGCUGAAUUGGCUUCAUCAGUUGCUGGUUUUGCUUGUCUUGGUUGGUAAUACAUUUUAUACUGAUUUGUUUUAAGCUUUCUUCCAUUCAUUAGUUAUUAUGAGUACCAAAACAAAUUGGAAUUCGUCCGUCGUUAUCGGCUAGUACUUUCUUUGUUGGAACUUGAGUGGUUUCAUUAUAUCAUUCCUCCAUUGAUUUCAAGUAUAUGAGGAAUGCAUGAUUAUUAAGAUGGGAGCUCAUUAGUUGUUAUAUCUAACUGUUAAUCCUCCGGUGUUGAGAUUACUCUUGAUGGGUUUUGAUGGCUUGCAAGAUUAUAUACCUUUUAUUUUUCUGUUUUUCUGUUUCUCUGGAAGGACCAAGAAAGCAGCGCACUACUUCACCUACUGAUAGGAUUAUCAUGGUAUCUGGUGCAAUCAAUGAAAUACUAAGAGCUGUAGAGCUUAUUCUUUCGAAGUUGCUCACUGAGCUUCAUAGCGAGGAUGACAAUGACGUUGAGCCAAAAACAAAAGUGAGACUCAUUGUUCCUAAUGGUUCUUGUGGCGGAAUAAUUGGCAAGGGAGGUGCUACCAUCAGGUACAAACCAUUUUCUUUUGUUAAGUUCUAGGUCCUACUUGUUUGCCACAUGCAUGAAAUUAGUAUGGAUCAAAGUAACUUUUGAUACUUAUGCUUUUUUAUUUGUGUUCUGGAAAUAUGUUUUGACUUGAAGAGGUUGUUUCUUAUAUGAAUGCUGGUUCUUUUCCCUA